rnacentral:snoRNA from 1 species
UGUUAGCACUGAUGAUAAGCUUUAAUCCCAGCAAAUUAUGAGACCUUAGCUGUGUAAGGUCUGAGAAAAUACUCCAUCUUACAUCAUUCUGAGCUUCACA